rnacentral:rRNA from 1 species
GACGAACGCUGGCGGCGUGCCUAAUACAUGCAAGUCGAACGAACCGCGACUAAGUGCUUGCACUAAGUCAAGGUGAGUGGCGAACGGGUGAGUAACACGUGGGUAGCCUACCUCAUAGUGGGGGAUAACAGUCGGAAACGACUGCUAAUACCGCAUAGGACAUAGGAUCACAUGAUCCAGUGAGGAAAGGUGGCGCAAGCUAUCGCUAAGAGAUGGACCCGCGGUGCAUUAGCUAGUUGGUAGGGUAAAGGCCUACCAAGGCGAUGAUGCAUAGCCGACCUGAGAGGGUGAUCGGCCACAUUGGAACUGAGCACCGGCCCAAACUCCUACGGGAGGCAGCAGUAGGGAAUCUUCCGCACUGGACGCAAGUCUGACGGAGCAACGCCGCGUGAGUGAAGAAGGUCUUCGGAUCGUAAAGCUCUGUUGUUAGAGAAGAACAGCGCAUAGAGUAACUGCUAUGCGUGUGACGGUAUCUAACCAGAAAGCCACGGCUAACUACGU